rnacentral:rRNA from 1 species
UACGUAGGGGGCGAGCGUUGUCCGGAUUUACUGGGCGUAAAACGCUUGUAGGCGGCCACGCCAAGUCGGAUGUGAAAUCUCCCGGCUUAACUGGGAGGGGUCAUUCGAUACUGGCGGGCUCGAGGCAGGUAGGGGGAAGCGGAAUUCCCGGUGUAGUGGUGGAAUGCGUAGAUAUCAAGAGGAACACCUGAGGUGAAGACGGGUUGCUGGGCUGACACUGACGCUGAGGCGCGAAAGCCAGGGGAGCAAACGGG